rnacentral:rRNA from 1 species
AUACAUGCAGUCGAGCGAAUGGAUUAAGAGCUUGCUCUUAUGAAGUUAGCGGCGGACGGGUGAGUAACACGUGGGUAACCUGCCCAUAAGACUGGGAUAACUCCGGGAAACCGGGGCUAAUACCGGAUAACAUUUUGAACUGCAUGGUUCGAAAUUGAAAGGCGGCUUCGGNUGUCACUUAUGGAUGGACCCGCGUCGCAUUAGCUAGUUGGUGAGGUAACGGCUCACCAAGGCAACGAUGCGUAGCNACCUGAGAGGGUGAUCGGCCACACUGGGACUGAGACACGGCCCAGACUCCUACGGGAGGCAGCAGUAGGGAAUCUUCCGCAAUGGACGAAAGUCUGACGGAGCAA